rnacentral:tRNA from 1 species
GGGGCUGUGGCUCAUAGGUAGAGCACUCACCUAGCACAUGGGAGGUUCUGGGUUCGAUCCUCAGUCCCA